CUGUCCCAAAUUUCUUGUCUUAGAUUUGUCUAGAUACGGAUGUAUCUAAUACUAAAAUGUGACUUGAUACAUCUGUAUCUAGACAAAUCUAAGACAAGAAUUUUGGGACGG
rnacentral:pre_miRNA from 1 species